CGGCUGUCUCUGUGGCACAUGCGCAGGACUGUGCAGCUUCGCUUGGCAUAAGCAAAAUAAUUUCUUAUUUUAAUUUUUUGAGAAACAAAAAGAAAGUCCUAGUGGAAGCCGCAAACAGGAAUUGGAAAGUGGGGCAUUGUGGAUUUAGUGGUCCGCGUUGGCGUGUCAUACAUGGUAGCGUUUUGGAAGAGGAAAAAUACCAUGUCAGCGUUGAGGAAGGUAAAUAUUUGGUGGGUGUUGUGAGCAGUUGGUGAUGGAGAAGGGUGUGAAAGCUUGACUCUCUUUAAUCACUCACACAUUUCGGGAAGGGUGUUGUUGAACUUUGAAUCAAAGAGGAGUUUGUCAGUGCGGAGUUCAGAGCGCGCCUGUUUAAAUACUGUGUUUCAAGUUAUCCAGGUGAGCUGCUGUCGUUCACCCAGGUGUGCGCAGAUUAGCCAAGGGCGGAGUGAGUAGUCGACCUCCCGGCAACAAGCAGCCCCAGAAAGGCAAGGGGCAGAAGGGAAUGAUGGUGGUGUGAGCUUGCCAUUCAGAGGGAAGGCGAACCGACCCAACUUUUUGACGAACCUGUAUUGUAGAGGGAAGCAGGUGAAGAGGUACGAAAUCUGUUUGAGUAGGACGACGCAGGGGAGCGAGGAGCACUUGGCGGAUUGGCUGCAGGGGAGACCAUAACAGAAACGCGGCAGUGGGCGAUAGAUGGAAUGAGUGAGAGCUCAAAACUGCGCGCACUACUAAGGCAGCUUAACUGAGGACAACCUGGAUGAGUAUAAUUUUAUCUUUUGACAUUUACACAUGGAUGACUAAAAGUUUCAACUGCAGCAAACUUUUUAUUAACCGGCACCUAUAGGACCAGAAGUGUACCAGCUUAUCAACUGUUCCAGUUGAUCAAGAUCCGCUAAUCAAUGUAAAAACACACACUAAGUAAUAGAAAUAUAAUGCAGGGGGUAUACACGUUAUUGUUAUUCUUUAUUUACAGCAUAAAUCACUGAAAUAAUAAUGCAACUUUGCCUUAAAUGAAACUUACUGGCAGAGAUCCUUCUCACUUGUGCACUGACAUCACUUGGACAUCACAAAGAUCGUGAUAAUACAGUAGACUUCUGGUAUUUUAGGUGUAUAAUUUUUGUUAACUUAUCAAGGGUGUGGUUAAAACAAAGUUUGCUGUAUUAGAAUGACUUGGGUGCUUCUUUUCAUUAAACUAUUAAGUCUUCUAAAAUUCCAGAAAGUGAACUGCCGUGCUCUACUCCUCAUUUAGACCUGGUUACCUUGUCAACAAACCUUAAUGGUAUUUUAUAUAUUUUACAGUAUAUAUGAGCUACAACCUUGAUUAGUAAUAAUAUAUAAUAAAAUAAAGAACUGUAAAUGCUGGAGUUCUGAAACGAAAGCAAAGUGCUGGAGAGACUCAGCAAGUCUGGCAUUAUCUGUAGAAAGAAACAAGGUUAUCGUUUCUAGUCCAGUGAGACAGUGCCCUGAAAACAGAAAAAGCGAAGUAAUUUUUGAUGGUACUCUUUUUCAUUUUAUUGAGGUUUUCAUUGAGUUAGUAAAUGGUUAAGAAAUAAAUCUUGGGGAAUUAGAUUCAACAUCUAUACCUUACAAGAAAAAUCACAAUCCAAUAGAGUUUAUUUCAAUAUGGUAGCAGAAGAACAAUCUAGUUUUAUUAGAAACUCGCUUACAUGUAUGUGCAAAUGUGCUGACUUGGACAGAAUUUUUCAAUUGAAUCAUAAUCACUUUGCAUACACAAUGACCUCAAAACUGACAAUAUUUGCUAACAUAGGCUUCUAGAUUUAAAAAAAAAUCUAAAUUCAAAUCCGAUUGCAAUCUGAAAGGUCUAUUAGAUAUCUUCCUUUUCCUCCUCAGUUUUGUAGCAAAAAUGUGAAGACACAUGCCAUAGAGAUAUUAUCUUACUGACAAUUAAAUAGGUAUUGAUUAUAAUUUCCUACAUCUAAUGCCCUGGAAUUCGUGGUUGUAAUGAUGUAACUAUGAGUUUUUACAAGAGGUAUGUUGUGAGACUGAUAGUAGCUUUUGUCAUCCAUACAUGCAGUGAAAUGUGAAAAUGAAGUUGACUCCCUGGAAGUAUGUAGUGUGUGUUGUUGAAGUCCUUGCAGAUUAAAAAAAUCUUAGAACUUACUGGAUGUGAAUUUCCACUUUUUAAUGCUGUAAUUACAAUGUGAAAUCAGCCAAAAUUGCUAAAUGUUCCUAAUGAGGUAUAGAUGGAUUGUUAAUUAUGUAUUGAUUUCAUAGUCAUUGCUGAGAAACCAUUGUACAUUUAUUGCUUUUAUUAAUGUUUAAAAUUUCAUGUUUUUAAAGUAUGUUAUUUCAACACCAUUAAUCCUACGUGUAUACCCCAAACUAUGUUUCACUUUUUAGGGUAAUGUCAUUGCAAGAUCAAGAGUCGUUACUUGCAAAAUAUUGACCUACUGACUGUCUGACUUUAAGCUGCAGCGUAAUCUUUGGCUUUCAAUAUUUGUGUUUUAAAAAAAAACUCCACAAAUAAUCUUCUUUGUCUGUGCCUUUACUUUCCUUGUUAAUCAGAAUGUCUGCAUCAUUAAACUGGUCUUUCAUUUA